CGGUAAUUCCAGCUCCAAUAGCGUAUACUAAAGUUGUUGCAGUUAAAAAGCUCGUAGUUGGAUUUCUGCGCGGGUGGGGCGGCCGGGUGUCUAAAGGCAUCUCGAGCCAGCAACGCCCGCGCAUCCUGCCGCGAUCCACGCUACCAUUCAUUUGGUGGCGUCUGGGGACCGGCUCGUUUACUUUGAGAAAAAUAGAGUGUUCAAAGCAGGCAACUCGCCUUGAAUAAUGUAGCAUGGAAUAAUGAUUAAGGACUUUGGUUCUAUUUUGUUGGUGUUCGGGACCGAAGUAAUGAUUGAUAGGGACAGUUGGGGGCGUCUGUAUUCUGAAGCGAGAGGUGAAAUUCUUAGACCUUCGGAAGACAAACAGCUGCGAAAGCGUUCGCCAAGGAUGUUCCCUUUGAUCAAGAACGAAAGUUGGGGGAUCGAAGACGAUCAGAUACCGUCGUAGUCUCAACUAUAAACUAUACCAGCUAGGGAUCGGCCAACGUUGACUUAUAAAGACUUGGUCGGCACCUUAUGAGAAGUCAAAGCAUCUGGGUUCCGGGGGGAGUAUGGUCGCAAGGCUGAAACUUAAAGGAAUUGACGGAAGGGCACCACCAGGCGUGGAGCCUGUGGCUUAAUUUGACUCAACACGGGGAAACUUACCAGGUCCAGACAUAGGAAGGAUUGACAGAUUGACAGCUCUUUCUUGAUUCUAUGGGUGGUGGUGCAUGUCCGUUCUUAGUGGGUGGAGUGAUUUGUCUGGUUAAUUCCGUUAACGAACGAGACCCCAGCAUAUUAAAUAGCGGGCGUGGCGUCUUGGCCGCGGCGAGUUUAUUAGAGGGGCUAAGGCCUACCAUAGGCCAGGGAAGUUCGGGGCAAUAUCAGGUAUGUGAUGACAUUAGAUGUUCUGGGCCGCACACGGGCUACAGUGACGAGUGCAAAGAUCAUAUCAUCUGGUACGAGAGGACAUGGUCUAAUGUUUUGAACUCGUGUUGUGGUAGGGACUGACCAUUGCAAUUUUUGGUCAUGCAAUGAGGAAUGCAUAGUAAGACUCGUGUCAUCAA
rnacentral:rRNA from 1 species